GGCUGCGGCCGCCGGCGGGGAGGGACCGGGACCGGGAACGGGAACGGGACCGGGACUGGGACCGGCAACUGGGAACGGGACCGGGACCGGGACCGGGACUGGGAACGGGGACAGGGACUGGGAAUGGAGACCUGGACAGGGACUGGACACCGGGAUUCGGAACGGAGACCGGGACUUGGAACGGGGACCGGGAUUCGGGGUAGAGAUAGAGGAGAGGAACUGGAACCAGGCACUGGGACAAAGGCCGGGAAUCAGAGACAGGGCACAGGGACAAGGAACAGGGACCGGAAAGGGGAACAGGGGACAAACAUUGGGACCAGGGAUAGGGACAAGAACAGGGAACAGGGGCUGGGGACAGGGUGAGGGUGGCGGUGGCUUCUCCCGGGUCCCUGCCCGGGCUGGCCCCUCAGCCGCGGGUAAGGGAGAACCCCCGGGCCUACAGCCCGAAGGCAUCGUUAAUGUUUAUUAUUGCUUUGAGCAACACCAACAAAUUCUGCCCUUUAAUCACGGAAUCACUGAGGCUGGAAAGUACCUCUGAGUCCAACCUGAGAGUGAUCCCCACCGUGUCACCCCGACCAUGGCACAUGCUGUCCUCUGAUGUGAUGAUUCACCCUGGAGGGGAUGGAAGCACCCAAGAUUCAUAAAUCCUCGUGGAAAAAAAAAAAAGGACCCUCAAAAAUCAGAGUGUCUGCAAACAAUCAGAAAGUUUUAUUAAACUGUUUUUGGAGACAUUUGGAAGGAGGAUACCCAAGAAGAUGGAGCAGUCCUUGUGCAAGCAGUGGACCAGGCAGCUGAAGAGUUUCCAUAGACUUUCAGGGAAUCACCAAAUCUGUGCAAGCCCUUCAGAAGAACAAACCCACCCUCUGAACUGUUUAAUCCAGGCUUGAUACAUCAAGAAAACUCCAGAGGAGUUGUUAUUGCCUCACACCAAUGGCCACACAAGAGAUCACAUUCCUUUUUUUAUUGUCCUGGCUGGAGCAUGGGAAAGAGAUGACAUGCAUUUUAACUUACAUGUUUGCACAGGCAAGUGCAGAGAAAACUAAUUCUAAAGGAAAAAUUAUCUAUUCUGUCACUAGUUCUGGUGAAGGAAAUGUAGAAUUAAAAUUAUAUUUUGGAUUGCUGAGUCCAGUCUUCUGCUUCUGUAGUGAGCCAAGUUUCCAAUCUUUUUCAUAAACAGCUUGGUGCUAUUCAAAAAUAUGCUCUUUCCUCCUUGCUGUCUCUCCUAUUCUCCCAGUUUCCCACUUUUUUUGGUGUUUGAAUUUCCUUCUCUUGAUGGGAAAAAAACCCUUUUAAUUUCCAUGGUCAGUUUAGGCAUGUUUUUCUUAUUCUGUGAAAUGCCAAAAAAAUUCCUUACUGCAGGUAGCCAUGCCUGUAUAGGGAACAAGGGAGGAAAACCCUUGUAAGAGGACAGAAAAUCUACACUUGGGUAAAUCCUUAAGACUCAUGUGUUGGAAACUAGGCUUUUACAGCACUUAGCAUAAAGUGUUUGUGUAUCUGAUACUACCAGGUUUUUCUGGGACUGCCAAAUGAAUUAUUUAGUAAUGGAAACAGCAUGUGCAUGUGUUUGGCUUCUGUAGGUUCAUGUGAUAGAAAACUGUAAGAGUCUGUAGGGAUCACAGCUGCCCAACUUUGUGUCAUAGACCCUGCUCAGAAAUUCCCAUUUAGCUGGGUAGAAGAGAGAGAACAGAGUGGCAAGUCUCAACUUUUAUUGCUAAUGCUUUGUAAAAUAACAUUUAUGGUCUGUAGAUUUGGUUCUGUGCAGGUCUGUGUGACUUUAAAUUUAUUACACCACUUCAUAUUUGUGCAUCUCUCUCCAGUUCCUGGAUAUGAAAGAAAUUAAAAGGUCAAGGUUACCUUUAUGUCAAUAGAUCCAGAUAUACCCAAUAUUUAACUUCCCUGGACAAAGGAAUUGCAUCAAGGGCUGGCUUGUCCUGUUAGCAUGUGACAGUGUCAGCCCUGUGUGCUGCACAGCUUCAUGGAGCCUUAGAGAAUAAAAAAGAAAAAAGCCAAGUGUAUGCUCAAUGGAAAACAGAUGGAGUUUUCAUUAGAUAUUACUUUUAAUGAUCUGCUUUGAAAGUAAAGAUACACCAUUCUGAGCAGAAGGGCCUCAUAAUAGCUGUGUUUGGGUCCCAGGCUCAUUAACUUAGCUACAGAUAAGCAAGACUGCAAGAUCUUUGUAUCAUUAGGGGUUCCAGUCAAGCUUGCCUACCAUUAUUAGAAUUCCAAACACAGCAGAACUAUUUUGGAGCCUUAACAAUAAUUUAUCCUGAAGAUGUAUCUUUAUUUAAUGAUUCAGAGUUGUUAUUAUGGGCCUGGCAGCCAGUUGCUCAGUUUCUGGAGUAUUACCAUUUAACCUAGGUCAGGAUAAAAAUCCUGGAAUAUUCAUUGCAGGGCAGACCUGAGGGCCUGUUCUUUACAGUGCCCUCGGGUGGGACUCUCCCAAAUGGUGUCACUGCCUGGCAGAGGUGACCCCAGCAGUCUGGAAAACCUGAAGAUCCCUCCUAAAAAGAGGAACCCUGCAAUCUGUGCCUGUGGGCACUAAAUCAACUUUUGACAUGUAAAGAACAAUGCAGUCCCAGGGUUUUAGGAGUGGAUGCUUGCUGCCAAACCACAAGAAAUGCUUUUGUCUGGAACUCACGGAGCAGUAACAUAGCAGUGGAGGGUGUACCCUUGUCUGUUAUUCCCUCUGAGCAAUUUCUCAGAGGCUUGUUACCAGGAUUUGGAUAGAUUUCAUGGAACUAGGAGAGAAAUAGGCUUUAAUUUCCUUACAAAAGGAGGGACAGACAAUAGAACUCAGCAAAACAUGUGGCAUUUCUUUGUUUUUGUCUGAGAGUUAUGCAAGCAAAACCUAGUGCCCAUCUUCAGGCAAAACUCUCUAAAGUGAGACUCACGUGAGAAAAUUUGUGUUAUCUUUCUUUUGGUGUGAGUUGCUAAAACUGCUUUAUUUCCUCUGCAUAUGGGUAAAUACAACCUAUGUCUUCAGCUGAUCUCCAGCUGGGCAGUACGAAUCAGAAUCCAAGUUUCUCAGAGUUUAAGGAAGUUUGGAGUUGAUGUUCUUGUUCACUGCCACCUUUGCAGAAAAAUGAAUACAUUAAUAUGCAUGAAUUAAAAAAAAAAAAGCCUCUUGUUUUCAUAACAGAGACUAGAAGGAUCAAAUCCAGUGGCAAUCUACCACAAACUGCUAAUUAAACACUGUUAUGGAACCAGGUUUUUCCCACUCUGUUAGAAACAUUCUUCAACUUCCAGACUAGAGUUAUUGGUUGACUAGUUUGUUCACAUUUUGUAUUGUGCCAAAGCUGCCUUUUAGUUUAGAUUAUUACACACAAACAGAAUGUAUUAGAUUUCCCCUGCUUUUUGUGUCUUUCAGAAAAAAAAGAAAACAAAAGUUAUGCUCAAGGUCAAAUUAUUUCCACACACAAUUUAAGGGCAGGGGGAGAAUAAGCAAAAGGAGCAGAUGGUAAGUAAGUGUUUAUAGUUAGGUUUGUGUACCUUAGUUACAGUGGUCCAACCCUUUUUCUAACAACAUAUCUGGUCUUCUGAUUGCUCCUGUUACCUUAUGUCCAAGUAAUUGCAGUUGAUUUUCUUUCUUUAUGAUUUAUUUGCAGACAUCAAGGUUAUCCUGUUGGUAUGUUGCUAGAGUGAAGAAACAACACUUUUUAUACAAUUGUUUAUUUCUUCUUUAGCCAUUCAGUGGCCUUUCCCUGAUUCAGUGUAUCUUUCUGAGCACGGGUGGCCAAACCUGAAUGCCACUUGAACAAGCCAGUUGCAUCAUACUGGUGAUUCCAGUACAGGGUGAGAGGUUCCCAGUGUAGUUUGUAAAGAAUCUCCACAGGAUGAAUUCUCAGCAAAUUCUAAGCAGGUGUCUUUCCAAGGUGUCUAGUUAUGCAAAGCUCAGUCACCCAAGGGGAAACUUGUCCUAAGUAACUGACCUGGAUGGAUCAAUGCAAAAAUGCACAUUUGAAGUGACAAAAGGCUUGCUUUGUACAUGGGAAUUAACCCCUGGACUGCUUGGGGUAGCAACACGUGGUGUCUGGUACUCCUUGGUGCCAUGGUGAAAUAUAAGUGAUCUCCAGAGCAAGGCAGUCCUGUUGAAAAGUUGAGUUGUUUAAGAUGUGAUUUUAAGAGGUCCUGGAUACCUUCUAGAAGUUGCUUCCUAAAGCAUCUGCAUGUCAGCACUCUACAUAUUUUAAACUGAGCAUGCAAAACCCCAGCAUGGAUGGGCACUCUUCAAUGUGGGGGCCUAUGUGGCUCCCUUUAGUCACUUGGCAACACAAUAAUAGAAAUAGGAACGUGGGAUUUCUUAUGUCUAUUGUGUCCAUUAGAACAAUACUGCUGAGAGCAACUGAGACCAAAGGCCUGGCCUUCAAAAUAUAUGACUUGAAAAGAAAGCUGCAUUUUUUUGGUAAGGUCCAAAUGUAUUUCAUUCAGCUUUGCUGCUACUCCCAAAGUUUAGUUAUAAACAAGUCACACAUCUGGGUAGCACUGUCUGUCUUCAUCCUCACCAGGAAUUAUUGGCUUUACAAUGUUCUGUGUGCGCAGAAAGCAGCUUGUAAGAGGAAACCUGAGCAAACUCUUAUAACUGAAGAACUUAAAUAUCUUCAAUGACCAGCAUGCAAAGUAGCCACAGUCUAUAACUUUAUGGAUAUAACCAUGAAGUCUUGAAAUUCUGCAGAGUUCCUCUGAUUCUCACUACUCCCUAUCAGAUUUCCAUGCUGACUCUGUCCAGACAGGUCAGCUGUCCAGAGCAAUGAUGUACUAACUGCUUUCAUGAGAGGUGAGUGUGAACAUGAGUAGAACUCACGUACAGCUAUAAAGGGUUUUGUAGCUAUGCAGCAAUAAAUCUUUGGAAACCAUUUCUGUAACAUCAUAAAUAAAAUGAAGUAAGCUGUCAGGAUCAUCAUUACUCAGUGCCAAGUGACAAAAUAAUGUUGCACCUGAAUAACUUCUGUAGAAGUGACAGGUUGUUUUCUCACUGCACGGUUGGCAUAUCCUGGAGACUUCGGAUUCUGCACUGUGUAAGCUGAAUUGAUUUAUAAAUUAAUAUUUAAAAUGUUCCGUGCUCCUGGUUCCAGCCUCAGUUCCCAAAACCAUGACAGAAAAAGCACUGGAAAAAAUACCUACUGAAUUCCAGUAUGAACAGGAAUCCAAAGAAAAGGAUGGGGAACUUGGAGGUUCCCAAUUUGUGCACAGCUGAUCCAAAGCCAGGAUUUGGAGUUCAUGAGAAGGGGACAUGACCUGUACACUCUAGGAGACUGAGGAUAGCUGAAGAAGGCCACAUUUUGGAGGAAUUGACAGAGUCCACUGGUUGUCUUCCUUUCUCUUCUUGGAACAGCCAUUCCAAAAAGCCUUUACAAAUUCCCCAGCAUGGUGAUGAGGUCCUCAGUUUGGAAGAAGAAACUAAGAGCUCUCUUGCUGCAAAGCUGCUGUUCUCCUCUGCUCCCAGACUGCUCCUACUCCCAGUCAAACCCACAGCUUGCCAGCUGAUUUGUGGCUCAUUGCCACAUGCUCCCAGCUUCCUUUACUGGCACUUCCUUGGCCUCCCAAGCAGAGCUAGCACAGAGCACAGAACAGCCCCUUACGAAGCACCUGGCUUCAGGCACAGAGACACAACUGCCCCCCAGCCUGAGUAACACCGGGUGUGGCACCUCCUGGGGCUCUGAGAGCUCAGAAAGGCAGAGACAGAGACCCAAGGAUGCUCCUUGGCAUUCCCACACCUCCCUCCCAGCUGGGUGUCCCUGACAGCCUCCUUCAUAAAUCAUUCAUGAAAGAUACUUCUGAAUAAAUACUUUCUCUGCUAUCUUCUCGGUACUAAGGAUUAAUUUUGCAUGAGUCUAUGCCUUUACUGCUCUUCAGCAGUGACAGAAAUUCAUUUCUUGGCCAGAUUUUAUGAAUGAUGUUCCAUAUUUAUUUUUGGAUGACACAAAGUCAAAUCUAGGCAUCUCUCUUUGGUUCUAACACUGUUUUUCUUCUCUGAUGAACAGUGUGUUGCAAUCUAUAGAUACCUGUAAUUUACAACCUUUUUUGAGUUUAAAAUAAGAUCACGAUUAACAUUUUAUAUGAAGCAAGGUGGUGAACAGGAGAGUUCAUUGACUUUUCAACCCUGGAAUCACCCAAACAGUUUUACAUUCCAAAUAAAAUAUUUGGUAGGUUUCACACCAGUCUUUUACUAGUGAAUAUCACAAUGUUGCUGUUGGGAAAAACUGAAUUUAUUAAAGCAGUAUAUUUUAAAAAUUGGCUCCAGCACCACACAGCUGGCAACAAGGAAAAAGCAAUCUAAGGCAGCAUGUAAAAAACUGUUCUCUAGUUAGACUGUGUAUUUUUAAUAACUGCCUGCAACAGACCACCCUAUGACAAUGAUUGCAAGCACAGGAAGUCUGGUUGUUCAAAAAUCAUGUAAAUAAAAUGUAGAUGUUGAAAUGGAACCUCCCAUAUUCACCUCCAACCUAUUCUUUUCAUCUUUUUCUGCUUAUUUUACUUGUUUCUCUCCUGGUGUCCUUCUCACUGAUGUUUUCCUUCAGUACCACCCUCUUUGUCUCCCAGAACCAACUGUGCUUUUAGCUUUAAUGGCAGAACAGGAAGUGUUCAGAGAUCUUUUAAUCUUUCACCUCACAUGCCACUUGUACAAGGACAGGCUACUCACUACUCAGAGAACUAUGAAAAUAGGAAAAAUAAGAGAUUAAUAAAGCUGGAUUACUGAAAAACCCAAGAAUCUCUUACUCCUAUUGUCCUGCACUAAAAUACUUAAGUACUUCCUGGCUUAUACUUUCUCUAAAGGAUGUUCACUAAAAGACAGUGUCAAUGUGGUGUCAUUUCUUUGGCUACUUGGGUCCAAGUUUUUGUAAAUGUCUCUUGUUGUAGGCUGAAAUGCACUACAACUUUAUCACUAUUUUCCUUACUAAAAAUGAAACCAGUUGCUAAGAGUUCCACGCACCCAUAAUUAACUUCCCCUUUGAGAAUAAAGAGGAUGCAUUUUUAAAAUGUUUUUAUUGCCUUAGUAAUGCAAGUUACAAAAAAAUGUCUUCUGCAGCAAAACACACAAAGAACAGGACUGAGUGCAAAGCAAACAAAUCAGAAAGUAAAUUAUCUAUGAAACCACUUAUUUCAAUGCAGCAGGGAACAGUAAAGUUUCAAAACAGCUUUUCCUCCCCUGGAGAAUGCAGAACUUAUUGGAGCUCCUGACAUAAGUCAAAAUAUUGCACUCAACCAAGAUUUCAAUUCCUUCCUCCCAGAGAGACCUACACAUUGUCCUCACAAUAUGUUUAUUUUGUUGGAAUAGAAGAAAAACUUAGAAAAACUU